AUUGAACGCUGGCGGCAUGCCUUACACAUGCAAGUCGAACGGCAGCACGGGUGCUUGCACCUGGUGGCGAGUGGCGAACGGGUGAGUAAUACAUCGGAACAUGUCCUGUAGUGGGGGAUAGCCCGGCGAAAGCCGGAUUAAUACCGCAUACGAUCUACGGAUGAAAGCGGGGGACCUUCGGGCCUCGCGCUAUAGGGUUGGCCGAUGGCUGAUUAGCUAGUUGGUGGGGUAAAGGCCUACCAAGGCGACGAUCAGUAGCUGGUCUGAGAGGACGACCAGCCACACUGGGACUGAGACACGGCCCAGACUCCUACGGGAGGCAGCAGUGGGGAAUUUUGGACAAUGGGCGAAAGCCUGAUCCAGCAAUGCCGCGUGUGUGAAGAAGGCCUUCGGGUUGUAAAGCACUUUUGUCCGGAAAGAAAUCCUUGGCCCUAAUACGGUCGGUGGAUGGCGGUACCGGAAGAAUAAGCACCGGCUAACUACGUG
rnacentral:rRNA from 1 species